rnacentral:rRNA from 1 species
GAUGAACGCUGGCGGCGUGCCUAAUACAUGCAAGUCGAGCGAACAGAUGAGGAGCUUGCUCCUCUGACGUUAGCGGCGGACGGGUGAGUAACACGUGGAUAACCUACCUAUAAGACUGGGAUAACUUCGGGAAACCGGAGCUAAUACCGGAUAAUAUAUUGCACCGCAUGGUUCAAUAGUGAAAGACGGUUUUGCUGUCACUUAUAGAUGGAUCCGCGCCGCAUUAGCUAGUUGGUAAGGUAACGGCUUACGAAGGCAACGAUGCGUAGCCGACCUGAGAGGGUGAUCGGCCACACUGGAACUGAGACACGGUCCAGACGCCUGCGAGAGGCAGCAGUAGGGAAUCGUCCGCAAUAGGCGAAAGCCUGACGGAGCAACGCCGCGUGAGUUAUGAAGGUCUUCGGAUCGUAAAACUCUGUUAUUAGGGAAGAACAAAUGUGUAAGUAACUAUGCACGUCUUGACGGUACCGAAUCAGAAAGCCACGGCUAACUACGUG